ACGUAUUAAGGAUUUCAAAGGAAGCCAGUAGAUCAGGGAUGGGGAACAUGUGACUUCUAUUCUCUUUCAAUUCCAGCCACCAUAGACAGUGGUCAGAGAUGAUGGGGAUUGGUAGUCCAUCAACAGCUAAGGGGCUGCAGGAUCCCCAUCACUGUGUUAGACAAACAGACUUUGUUGGCACUAAGGUUUUGAUCAAGACAGCUACUCUGGUGGUGGUAUUGAAAGGAACUAUUGUGGGAAAACAAUUUAAAACGCAAGGAAAUGUUUUUGUUUCAAGGUACGUGGUGAUUUUCAAUGGCAUCCUGGUAUUUCAGAAGACUAGCCGAAUAAUAACAACGUUGUGUGACAGCAUGCCAGAAAGUUCUGAAACCACCUCCCUCAGCAACUAAGCUGGUGUGUAACGUUGUGAGGAACAGUUGAGAGAGUUGGGCAUGUCUAGCCUGGGAAAGAGGCAACUGAGAGGAGAUACAAUAGCCAUCUUCAAAUAUCUCAAGGGCUGUCACAUGGAAGGUGGAGCAAGCUGGUUUUCUCCUGCUCUGAAGGAGACUCAAGGCAGCUUACAGCUAAAAUUCCAUUCCAUUUAUCUGUUGAAGGUGUCGUACACGAUCCCUUUCCUCGCACAUUUUUUCUUUACAACAAUCUUGUGAGGUAGGUUGGGCGGAAAGGUUGCAAUUUGCCCAAGGUGACCAAUGUAUAAUUUUGUGCAGGCCAUCAAAUGCCAGAGAAACCUCUUGAUGUCGAAUAGAAUGUCCCUAUUUUCACUGGAAAAAUGUUGGAGGGCAUGCAUAACACAUUGCAGUAAUCUAACCUAGGUUACUAGAGCAUAACUGACAGUAGUCAGGCUAUCCCUGUCCAGACAGGCACAGCUGGGCCACCAACCAAAAUUUAUGGAAGGCACUGUGGCCACCGGAGUCUCGAGCAACUGCAAAGGAUUCAGAGGUAUGGGAGAACUAAAUUAUUUACUCAACUGGGCAAAGUAUACAACCUCAACCGUUAUGAUAUUGUUGCUGACACAGGAUAGUAAUUGAGUCAGGUACAUAUUGUUCUGAUGCACUCUUCUUUUAGCUUUUGGUGGGUGACUGGGGGGAGGGAACUGAGGAAGAAAGAGAAAUUAAAAUUUAAGCAGAUAAAAAUCCCAAGUGGUUUCUCUUUUUCUGAUGACAUUUGGUGAAAUCAAAAUAGCAGGCACCAAAUGUAUUCUGGAAAUGAAGGCUUUCCGUCCUCAGGGAGGGUGGAUGAUAGUCUCCUUACUUGGAAGACACAGGUCUCGGGAGAUGUUUAAGCAAUCGCACACCUCAGGGGUUGGGCGGAAGGCGGCGUUGGGGGGAGUGAACUUCGGCUUUCUGGGUAGCAGAUUCCCAACACACGUG